rnacentral:rRNA from 2 species
GGGUGAACCUGCGGAGGGAUCAUUA